rnacentral:rRNA from 1 species
CACGUAGGGGGCAAGCGUUGUCCGGAUUUAUUGGGCGUAAAGAGCUCGUAGGCGGCUCAGUAAGUCAGGUGUGAAACCUCCAGGCUCAACCUGGAGACGCCACCUGAUACUGCUGUGGCUAGAGUCCGGUAGGGGAGCGUGGAAUUCCUGGUGUAGCGGUGAAAUGCGCAGAUAUCAGGAGGAACACCAGCGGCGAAGGCGGCGCUCUGGGCCGGAACUGACGCUGAGGAGCGAAAGCGUGGGUAGCAAA